rnacentral:rRNA from 1 species
GACGGAGGGUGCGAGCGUUAUCCGGAAUCAUUGGGUGUAAAGGGUCCGUAGGCGGCCGUUUAAGUCGGGUGUGAAAGCCUGGGGCUCAACCCCGGAAUGGCAUUUGAGACUGGUGGGCUUGAGUUAUGGUGAGGUGGACGGAAUAUGCAGUGUAGCGGUGAAAUGCAUAGAUAUCGGGUAGAACACCGGUUGCGAAGGCGGGUCGCAGGACUGGUACUGACGCUGAGGGACGAAAGCGUGGGGAGCAAACGGG